rnacentral:misc_RNA from 1 species
GAGCAAUUGAAUCCGAGUAAGCAUUAGCAUCAUCUUAUGUGUUAAGAAGUGAAAAUAGUAAAAGAGGUUAUAGUUAUACUGCAUGUGAACACAUUGUUAUAUUUCCAUGCAUGGACUCUCUGACAAAAAAGAGAGCCUCAACUUGUGUGGAAACAUGGAUUGCUUGUAUGUUAAGGAACUUAUCAUACGAGGAUAUAUUGAAUGCAAUUCUAUGUUUGUUCCACACAUGAAUUAUUGUGGAAUUCAAUUGAAUUUCUUGCAUUAGUGUACAUCAUAUGAAGCAUAAAUUUUUUUGCUGGUAAAUUUUGCUAUAUAAUGGGCA